ensembl:misc_RNA Y_RNA Y RNA
GGCUGGUCUGAGUACAGUGGUGUUUACAACUAAUUGAUCACAACCAGUUACAGAUUUCCUUGUUCCUUCUCCACUCCCACUGUUUCACUUGACUAGCCUUUA